rnacentral:rRNA from 1 species
UACGAAGGGUGCAAGCGUUACUCGGAAUCACUGGGCGUAAAGCGUGCGUAGGCGGUUCGUUAAGUCUGCUGUGAAAGCCCUGGGCUCAACCUGGGAACUGCAGUGGAUACUGGCGGACUAGAGUGUGAUAGAGGAUGGUGGAAUUCCCGGUGUAGCGGUGAAAUGCGUAGAGAUCGGGAAGGAACACCAGUGGCGAAGGCGGCCAUCUGGAUCAACACUGACGCUGAGGCACGAAAGCGUGGGGAGCAAACAGGG